rnacentral:rRNA from 1 species
AUUGAACGCUGGCGGCAUGCUUUACACAUGCAAGUCGAACGGCAGCGCGGGGGCGACCCUGGCGGCGAGUGGCGAACGGGUGAGUAAUGCAUCGGAACGUAUCCUGUAAUGGGGGAUAACGUAGCGAAAGUUACGCUAAUACCGCAUACGCUCGAGAGAGGAAAGUGGGGGAUCGCAAGACCUCACGUUAUAGGAGCGGCCGAUGUCCGAUUAGCUAGUUGGUGGGGUAAAGGCCUACCAAGGCGACGAUCGGUAGCUGGUCUGAGAGGAUGAUCAGCCACACUGGGACUGAGACACGGCCCAGACUCCUACGGGAGGCAGCAGUGGGGAAUUUUGGACAAUGGGCGAAAGCCUGAUCCAGCCAUGCCGCGUGCGGGAAGAAGGCCUUCGGGUUGUAAACCGCUUUAGUCCGGGAAAAGGGUAGGCGAGGAGUAAUACCCUACGUGCUUUGAUGGUACUGGAAGAAUAAGACACCGGCUAACUACGUAGCCAGCAGCCGCGGUAA